GGCAUGCAGAGGUUUUAAUUGGUGGUUCUGGAUCGGGCAUUCGAGUUCUUGUCCAUUUAAGCAUGCCAUUGUUCGCUACAUUUCUUCAUUCUGCAUUCUUAACACGCUAUCGAUGCUCUUGUUCAAGAUGUAUCGAUGGAGUUAAGUUUCUGCGGACAGAUUUCGAGCGGUUUUCAAUGAGUGAAGAAAAGUGAGGAGGGGAAUAUGAGUGAAAAGUGGUCUUUGAAGGUGGUUUGAAGUUUGAACUGCAGCAUGCAGAAAGGUUUUGUUUAUAGACUUGCCUUGGAUGUGGGCCCAUAGUUGAUGGUGGUGAAGAUGCAUCAAGAGUGUUAACAGGAUUAUGAAGCAAUUCCGAUACGAACAAAGGUACUAUAUGCUUUUUUAUUUAGAAGAAAAAUUAGUUUAUUUGGGAAACUAAAAGAAUUUGGAUUGUAAAGAUCCACACAAAACUGACGAAGAUCUUUUCAUGAGUUGAUUUUAACUAUAACAUUA